CCUACGGGUGGCAGCAGUGAGGAAUAUUGGUCAAUGGACGAGAGUCUGAACCAGCCAAGUAGCGUGAAGGAUGACUGCCCUAUGGGUUGUAAACUUCUUUUAUAUGGGAAUAAAACGUUCCACGUGUGGGAUUUUGUAUGUACCAUAUGAAUAAGGAUCGGCUAACUCCGUGCCAGCAGCCGCGGUAAUACGGAGGAUCCGAGCGUUAUCCGGAUUUAUUGGGUUUAAAGGGAGCGUAGGUGGAUUGUUAAGUCAGUUGUGAAAGUUUGCGGCUCAACCGUAAAAUUGCAGUUGAAACUGGCAGUCUUGAGUACAGUAGAGGUGGGCGGAAUUCGGGGUGUAGCGGUGAAAUGCUUAGAUAUCACGAAGAACUCCGAUUGCGAAGGCAGUUCACUGGACUGCAACUGACACUGAGGCUCGAAAGUGUGGGUAUCAAACAGGAUUAGAUACCCCUGUAGUC
rnacentral:rRNA from 1 species